rnacentral:lncRNA from 1 species
GUAAAUCCUCGCCCGGCCAGAACACCAACAACAACAACAAUAACAACAAGAUCACAGCCACGGCCAGAGCAGGGGCUCCACUGCCUGCUAUUGUGGGGGUGAGCUUGUGAGAAUAAGCCCGGUUCUCACUUUAAGGUCUUACUUAGAAAGGACCGAGUCGCUGAAGCCCAGACCGUUAAAGAACAGACCACAUUACAAGUGAAGAGUGAGAGUGCUGCUCUGCAGGUGACCUCAGUUCCCGGCCCGGUCGCCCAGGAGCGAGUCAAGAGGAGAGGAGAGCCAGCAGCAGCAGCACCCAGGCCUACACAACAACGGGUCAUUGCCCGUCGUAUCCCACAGUGACUGCUUUACCCAGCGGAACGCCCUCUUCAACCAGGAGAUCCUCCAGGCCGAGGCAUGGAUCAAGAGGAGGCUGCAGGAGCUACAGGGAGGCCCCGCUGGCCAGUGCUGCCCCCUGCAGGGCAGCGAGGAGGCCUCCACCACGCUGCACAGAGACCUCAAGGUCUUCGAGAACACGCCUGACUCAGCUCAACCAGACGGGCGAGCAGUUGAUCUGCAAGCUGAACCCCUCGGCGGAGCUGGCGAGGAGACAGCUGAGCCAGCUCAGAGAGCACUGGCAGACGCUGAGACAGACGGCGGCCGAUCAGGCGAGGGCGCCGGGUGGCGUUGGCGUGAGGAGCUUGCAGGAGUUUCAACAGGAAAGUCGAGCGACUCGAGGCCUGGAUCAGAGACAAGGUGAAUCACGGGAUACGUGUCUCGCUCUUAAUUUUUUUCAUUUGCGCUUUAUCGCUCUUACCUUCACCGUUGAACCUCAGUGCCGUUCCUCAGAAACUCUGGAAAAUAACAUAUGCCUCAGCUUUAAAACACACACCCCAUCAUACGCUAGACGGGCUUGUGCUUAUAUCUCCACACCUGUCUGCCUAUCUAUAUUAUGUUGAUGAUAAGUGUGAGGGAGUUACACUGCCUCGUAUGCCGCUGGCUCAGAGUGGCUGACAGUUAAUCCCUGGGCGAGUAGAGAAGUAAUGCAAGUUUGUGUAAGAUCUUUCCACCAAGCUAUUCAGUCAACCCCCCCCCCCCCCCCCCAAGCGAUUAACCAACAACCCCUCGAGGAAAGCUCAUAUUCUCAAUCAAGGUUCAUAAAGGCUUUAUUUAUCACUGCAGCAGCAUCGACUAAAAAGGGCAGGAUAACUGCAAAAAAAGCUGGUUCUUUUUCUAUAAAGUCCUUUCUCUCAUCUCCCAUUAUUCUGCACGAAUGUCGAUGCGUUUGUGUGUGUGCUUGUGCGUCGUGCGUGUGGUGUGU